rnacentral:rRNA from 1 species
UCAAGAGUACGUGAAACCGCUUAGGGGUUAAGCCCGAUGAACCUGAAUAUCUGAAUUGAGAAAUUCAAUACUGUUUAUACAUAAAGUAUAGAUGAUAUGCACUUUUCUCAUAGUAAGACAUUGCGAUCCAUUAGUUAAUUACUCAUUGAGAUAAUUUAUCAUACGGCCCAUUAUUAAGUUUAAUCUAUCAGCAGUAUUUUUAAUAUUGUAUGAUUAAUAUUAUUGUGGUGACCUGAUAAAUGGCUGAUGGAGCUUAAAAAUCAUGCAACCAUGCAUAUGUAUCACGGUUAAUAUAUAAUUUAUUGUGUGUUAAUGCAGUGAUGGCAUGUAUUUGAUUAGCAAUGCGAUAGAUUUGGGAUACCUUCGGGACCCGUCUUGAAACACGGACCAAGAAGUCUAACAUGUGUGUAAGUCAUUGGGUAUGUUUUAACUAAACCUAAAGGCGAAAUUAAAAUAACUAUUUUUGGGAUUACAAGCGAUUAUUUUUAUGAUUGCUUCUCCAUCCCGGGGCGUUCUUUUUUAACAUGGUUUAAGCAAUUAGAUCCUCUGUUUGAGAGCGUACCUUGAACAUACAUGCUGUGACCCGAAA